rnacentral:rRNA from 1 species
UACGUAGGGGGCGAGCGUUGUCCGGAAUUAUUGGGCGUAAAGAGCGUGUAGGCGGUUCGGUAAGUCUGUCGUGAAAUCCUGGGGCUCAACCCUGGGAUGCCGGUCGAUACUGCCGGACUAGAGUUCGGAAGAGGCGAGUGGAAUUCCCGGUGUAGCGGUGAAAUGCGCAGAUAUCGGGAGGAACACCUAUGGCGAAGGCAGCUCGCUGGGACGUUACUGACGCUGAGACGCGAAAGCGUGGGGAGCAAACAGG